AACGCACCUUGCGCCCCUUGGUUUUCCGAGGGGCAUGCCUGUUUGAGUGUCAUGUUUAUCUCAAUCUCCUUGUCUUCUUAAUUGAAGUCUCGGGGCUUGGAUUUGGAGGUCUUGCUGGCAGUUAUGUCGGCUCCUCUUAAAUACAUUAGUUGGACUUUGGUUCGCGUUACUGGUGUAAUAGAUUUAUGUUCGCCAGACGCUUGCCUAAUGGGUCUGCUUCUAAUCGUCUUCGGACAAGGUCUUUGACCUUCUUGACACCUUUGACCUCAAAUCAGGUAGGACUACCCGCUGAACUUAA
rnacentral:misc_RNA from 1 species